GUGGCAAAAACAAAUAAACGCAAACGAAAAUAAUAAUUUAGCAUUUGCAGCUUAAUUGCUGCUAGCUUGUUCCGCUUAACCGUCCUGUAGGUUAAACCGGGGCAUCAUUUAAAUCAGGGAACUGCUUAAGGGGCUCUUCGACCUUAAGUUGAAUAAUCGGAGAUAGCCGACACUAUAGCUGGGGCAUAGGCGAUAGUAGAGGCGAAACAUAAAUUAUGUCCUACACUCGAAGAAAGUCUUGUGGAAAUAUUUUCGGACGUGGGUUCGACUCCCACCGCCUCCAUAC
rnacentral:tmRNA from 1 species